UCCCUGCCGUUUGGAGUGCUCUGCCUCUGCCUCAUGCAAAAAGCAGGUCAUCCUCAAAACUCCAAAAGUAAAAUACCCAUUCGAAAAAUUGAAAUUCCAAAAUCUUUCUAACUUCAAAGAAAUUUCAUCAAAUGGUGAAAGCAUGAAUAUCCAAAUCUUGCUAGGAUUUAAGACGCAUCAUCGUCGUUGAGGCUAGGAUUUUCGGUGGGUACUGGGUUUGAGGGCUUUUCUGAUAGUCGAUCAUCCCGCUCUACAUCCGGUCGUUUGUGUAAGAUUUUCUAGGAGUAUGAGAAUAAGUUUGGUGGGUAUGAAUAUGAAAGUUUUGAUCACUACGAGUAGUGGGUAGGCCAUAAAUGAUGGGUUCGAGGGUUUAAAUUUCUCAUAUCCGCCUACCCCACUCCAUAUCCGUCUAAGAUUUGUCCGGACGGCUUAAAUUAACGCUUAGAAUUAGAAACGCAGUGAAUCGAUUUGUUAAAAAUGGAGAACGAACAUUUAAACCCUAAGUUUUGAAAAACUAAAUAAAAAUACGAAAUUUCAUCAAUGAAGUCUAAGAUAUGAAAAUUUGUACCCUGAAAAUGGAAAAUCUGUAACUUCGCAAGAAUGAAAGCUAGAAAUAAAAACGGGUCGGGUCGGAUUGGGCUGGGUUUUAAAGCCCAGUCCAUUUUCAACCCAUUUUCAUUUUACAAGGCCCAAUGCAACCCAGGUCCAUCUUUGUUUGAACCCGAUCCGGCCCUUAUCAAGCCCUUUGAACACCUCUUAUUUGGACCUUGGCGUCAUUGUAUAUGUAUUCCAUGAGUUAGUGAGUUCAUUCUUUCAAACUAGUCGAGUCGUUUUUAGAUUGGGUUGAAUGCCCAACUUGUGUUGAUUGAAGUAGAAGAUCCUCACUUUUGGAAAUAUGACUUUAAUUUUGUGUUGGAUUUUUGUAUUGUAAGCUGGCACAAGCUCUUCGAAAUUUCCUCAUCGCGACUUGUCUACUAGCUUGAGAUUCAUUUUGAAAGAUUAAAUGCCCCUCUACAGAAAGAUGCACAAAAUGGUGUAUCUUUAACCUUCGCAAUAUUCGUGUUAUUGUUGGCUAAAGAAUCCACUCUAUCUCAUUUACGUGUAUGAUUGCGUGUUAUAGACACCAAGCUAUAUUUGAUUGUUGUGCUUCAUCUUGAACUGAUAAUGUCGUGUGCGGAGUCUACUAAUUAUCUGAUCCAAUAUUGAAUAUGAUUUAAAGUCGAGUUGUUUCUUGGGUCACUUUAGGGAUAGUUGCUGCUUUGAUGCCAUAUGUUGGUGGAGAAAGUGGUUAACUUUGAUACAGAAGAUCCUCAUCCCAGAAAUAGCUUAAUUUUGUGUGAGAACUUGGAUGCUUUUCUUCUAAAAUAUCAUAGACCCCCUAAAAAUUUCAAGUAUUGUUUGGACAGAGGCCGCGCGUACGCAGGCCCCCACUAUCACAAAUUAUGACGUAGACUCUCCCAUUUGGGGAGAUCUUAGGCUGCUGCUCCUCCUUAAAGUGCAAUGGAAGUCAACAACCUAGGCCAUAAGCCUAUUUGAUCACUUAUAGACCCCAUCCAGAGGGAGAUGCACAAAAAAAGGUUCAUCCUCGUUUAUGUACAUGAUCAUGGGUUGUAGAUAGACUCCAAGCAACAACUGAGCGUUGUUCUUCAUCUUGAACUGAUGUUGUGCGACGUUUCUUCUCAGUACUGUAAACAGCUCCAACAGUUUAAAAGCUGAACAAUACCAAUUGUUGGAUGCUUCAGAGGCUGAAUAUUUUUUAAAAAGGCAAGAGUUUUGGAUACUGGAAGAUGUGAAGCUGAACGAGAAACCAGAAGGCGUGUGACAUUGAGACCUUCUGAGGAGAUCAGGAGAAUAUUGAGAGAGCAGAUGAGUAUACUUUAUGCUGAUACUGUACGUGUAAAAGUGAUACCACCAUACCAGAAGAAAGGAACCGAUUUCUGCAAUGUAAAACAGAAACAUUAGAGGCCGCGCGAACGCAGGCCCCCACUACCACAAAUUAUGACGUAGACUCUCCCAUUUGAGGAGAUCUUAGGCUGCUGCCCCUCCUUAAAGUGCAAUGGAAGUCAACAACCUAGGCCAUAAGCCUAUUUGAUCACUUAUAGACCCCGUCCAGAGAGGAGAUGCACAAAAAAGGUUGAUCCUCGUUUAUGUACAUGAUCAUGGGUUGUAGAUAGACUCCAAGCAACAUUUGAGCGUUGGGCUUCAUCUUGAACUGAUGUUGUGCGACAUUUCUUCUCAGUACUGUAAACAGCUCCAACAGUUUAAAAGCUGAACAAUACCAAUUCUUGGAUGCUUCAGAUGCUGAAUAUUUUUUAAAAAGGCAAGAGUUUUGGAUACUGGAGCGGUGAGUAUUUCUGCUAAUUUUGUUCCUGAUCUUGAAAUAUUGAUAUUGGAUAACAUCUUGCCACAUAGGGCCAAUUUAAACUGUAAACAGCUCCAACAAGGAAAUUUCUUGGAUGCCUCAAAAUCUGAAUAGCUUCAGAGAAGUAUUUUGUGCAGUCCUGUUUGUGUUUGAAGUGGGGUUAGCUCUUCCAUCUCUAAUAUAGCCUUAAGCAGUAACGGAGUUCCAGAAGUUCUUUUUACAUUGUAUUAUUUCUCGUUUUUCGGGAUUACGUACGCUCCUCCGUCCUAGACUUCGUGAAAGGAUGAUUAUUAAUGAGGCAUGACGUUUUGGAUUUAGGCGAGAUGCAAUAGUUUAUCUUUUGAGGUAAAGGAGGUGUUAUGAAUAUAGCAUUGCCGGUCCAAUCAAUGAGGUGAUUCCCGUUUCUGACCUAGUCACUCAGAAGCUUCCUUGAUUGUGUAUGAAGUACCUGUUCAUGUUACAAAGCCCAAUUUAUCAAUCUUUAUCCUCAUAUGCGACAUAGCGCCUUUUUGUUCUCAUUUCUCAACCUUCUUUGUUUCAAGGCUUCCAACUUCUUCUGAUGUUUUGAUCCUGCCUUAUGUUCUCAUCCUGAACGAACAUGAAGUGUGGAGUCUACUUGCUAUUAGGAUUUAAUGUGUUUUCUUAUCCCAAACCAUAUGUGAAACAGUGAUCUGAGUGCAAGCAAACAAAUAAAAAGAGAUUUAUGAAUGCUUUGAUACUCAUACCUUUCUCGGCCUUUUGGCUAAGAUCAAGUGUA